CGUGUAGGCGGCUUGGCAAGUCGGACGUGAAAGCCCGGGGCUCAACCCCGGAACUGCGCUCGAAACUGCCUCGCUAGAGUCCCGGAGAGGAGGGCGGAAUUCCCGGUGUAGAGGUGAAAUUCGUAGAUAUCGGGAGGAACACCAGCGGCGAAGGCGGCCCUCUGGACGGUGACUGACGCUCAGACGCGAAAGCGUGGGGAGCAAACAGGAUUAGAUACCCUGGUAGUCC
rnacentral:rRNA from 1 species